AAUAAGUGUAGUUUUGCACUAUUUACGUUCAACGUUUGACCGUUCGUUUUAUUUAAAAAAAAUUUAUGAUUAGUAUUUUUAUUGUUAUUAGAUGAUAAAACAUGAAUAGUACUUUAUGUAUGACUAAAUAUUUUUAAAUUUUUCACAAAUUUUUCAAAUAAGAUGAACGGUCAAUGUUAAGCACGAAUAUCCACGGCUGUACUUAUU
rfam:Oryza sativa Japonica Group DNA, chromosome 2, cultivar: Nipponbare, complete sequence.